AAGUCGUAACAAGGUUUCCGUAGGUGAACCUGCGGAAGGAUCAUUAAUACAUGUUGAGCGCACUUUAAUGUGACUCUUUGUAUAAACCAUUACCCCCCAAACCCAGAGGUGCAUUGUGGCCCGUCAAAAGGUUAGCAGUGUAUCAGUACGUAUCUCAAAGGCAACUUUGAUUUACAUUACCCAUCAUUUACCCCCAUUUACACUUAAGAAGUUUUAAGAAUGAUAACCAUAACUAUAUAACUUUCAGCAAUGGAUCUCUAGGCUCUC
rnacentral:misc_RNA from 1 species